rnacentral:lncRNA from 1 species
CGCGGGUGGGGCGGCCCAGCUGGGGGCGUGUGAGGCUGGGCCUGCUUUGGUAAUUCCACAAAGAACCGCUGUCUGAGGAAGUUUAAGGGCCAAAAGGCUUUUUCUGCCCCGAAGGAAGCACCACGCCAGUUCCAUGUCCCCGAGGCACUUUCCGUUCCGAAGGAGCAGCACUGACACCACACAGCUGCUUGGCUUGCCCAGUGGAUUUCUUUAACCCCAUGCCUGGCCAAAAAGCGUGCCUCCCGUGCGGCUCAGAGGCAGCACAGCCCACAGAAGGACAAGAAACAUGCAUCUGUCUUGGGAAAGGCCAGGUGUUUCAGGCUCGUGAUGCUCACUGCACGUGUCCUCCGGGUUAUCGGAGCUCUCUGGAUGGCAGAAGGCAUUGUGUCAGAAGAGCAUAUGAUAUUUGUCAAGAUUCAGCCUCCCGAAAUCAGGAAGGACGGUGUCUAACCAAGAAGGAAUGGGCUCACUAUUGCUCGGAAAAGGUUUGUACUAUUCCCAGGGAUUAUCAAGGCUAUGACAAGGUUCUCGGCCUCUGCAUCUGUCAAACUGACCGACUGGAGAACAUCUGUGAUUCUCAGUGUAGAAGGCAACAAAGAGAUAUCCUGCAAAUCAUCUGUGCAGAG